CUCAAACUAAACAAUGUUUCUUAGGAAAAGCUGAAAACAUUAAGUCAUUACUUGGGAAUUUCUUUCGCUCAAACCAACAUUAUUUGUGAUUUCAGACCUGUUCAAAUUCCACUGAAUCAUCCUUGAAGCAAUGCUAAAUGCAGUAACUGAGGGAAAUCCCAUUCUUAAUGGUGAAGAACCAAAAAUCUUAAGAGACCAGGAACAAUCACCACCUCCUGCAGCCCCGAGCCAAGGUUGAAAAGAAGAAAUGUGCCAAUUAGCUAAAAGCCUCAGGUAUGAUGCAGGAGCUAAGAUGGGAUCCAGCAAUGUAUCCGUGUUACUGAAGAUGCCAUCACCUCAAGGGCUGGCCCGGCUGUAGCUGUGUCAGCCUUGGGGCAGAGGACCAAACAGCUUCAGUCUGCAGCCAGCGGUCCUAGCAUGUGAUCCACAACUAACCCGAGUGCUAACAGCCACCAGGGCAGCCCCAGGCAACCCGUACCUCAGAUGAAUACGGAGUUCAUCGUCCCUUUCCUCUCCCUUCUUAUCUUGAAAAGAGCCAUGCAAUUACUUGCAAGUCUUUUCAGGAUUUGCUGCAGCACCUUCUGACAACAUUUCCAAGAAGAGUUACUCACAAAGGAAAAUAGAGACGAUAACAAGCAUCUUCAACAUCGCUUCAUGGACUCUUAAACACUUCAACACUUCUAACUUCAGCUUCAUAUUUGGAGAAUGUCUGCAUACAUUCCAGCAAGUCUAUUUUUAUUGUCAAACUAUAAACUAUGAAUUAAUUUGUCAAUCAGAUUUGGGGUGAUAUGCAGUGCAGUGAUGGAAACGAAGUCUAUGAAACAGAAUUAGGUUUUUGAUGUGGUACUUUUCCUACCCCUGGGAUAAAAGGCUACCUUUGUUCAGUUUAGCAGUGACUAAGAGUCCCCUGAUCACUGCCAGCACAAGAUUAAAAGGAAGGAAAUAUUGUGC
rnacentral:lncRNA from 1 species